AACGAACGCUGGCGGCAUGCCUAACACAUGCAAGUCGAACGAUCCCUUCGGGGAUAGUGGCGCACGGGUGCGUAACGCGUGGGAAUCUGCCCUUGGCUUCGGAAUAACAGUUAGAAAUGACUGCUAAUACCGGAUGAUGUCUUCGGACCAAAGAUUUAUCGGACAGGGAUGAGCCCGCGUAGGAUUAGGUAGUUGGUGAGGUAAAGGCUCACCAAGCCGACGAUCCUUAGCUGGUCUGAGAGGAUGAUCAGCCACACUGGGACUGAGACACGGCCCAGACUCCUACGGGAGGCAGCAGUGGGGAAUAUUGGACAAUGGGCGCAAGCCUGAUCCAGCAAUGCCGCGUGAGUGAUGAAGGCCUUCGGGUCGUAAAGCUCUUUUACCCGGGAUGAUAAUGACAGUACCGGGAGAAUAAGCUCCGGCUAACUCCGUGCCAGCAGCCGCGGUAA
rnacentral:rRNA from 1 species